GAUGAACGCUAGCUACAGGCUUAACACAUGCAAGUCGAGGGGAAACGAUAGAGAAAGCUUGCUUUUUCUAGGCGUCGACCGGCGCACGGGUGAGUAACGCGUAUCCAACCUGCCCAUCACUUGGGGAUAACCUUGCGAAAGUAAGACUAAUACCCAAUGACGUCUCUAGAAGACAUCUGAAAGAGAUUAAAGAUUUAUCGGUGAUGGAUGGGGAUGCGUCUGAUUAGCUUGUUGGCGGGGUAACGGCCCACCAAGGCGACGAUCAGUAGGGGUUCUGAGAGGAAGGUCCCCCACAUUGGAACUGAGACACGGUCCAAACUCCUACGGGAGGCAGCAGUGAGGAAUAUUGGUCAAUGGACGAGAGUCUGAACCAGCCAAGUAGCGUGAAGGAUGACUGCCCUAUGGGUUGUAAACUUCUUUUAUACGGGUAAUAAAGUGAGGCACGUGUGCCUUUUGUAUGUACCGUAUGAAUAAGGAUCGGCUAACUCCGUGCCAGCAGCCG
rnacentral:rRNA from 1 species